rnacentral:tRNA from 1 species
AUAGGGAAACGUGGGGAAACUCCCGGAAAGCACGGCCCGUUGCAUGGCAUGCAAGAGGUCAGCGGUUCGAUCCCGCUUAGCUCCACCA